GACGAACGCUGGCGGCGUGCCUAAUACAUGCAAGUCGAGCGCAGGAAGUCAUCCGACCCCUUCGGGGGGACGUUGACGGAAUGAGCGGCGGACGGGUGAGUAACACGUAAAGAACCUGCCCUCAGGUCUGGGAUAACCACGAGAAAUCGGGGCUAAUACCGGACGGGUCAUCGGACCGCAUGGUCCGAGGAUGAAAGGCGCUCCGGCGUCGCCUGGGGAUGGCUUUGCGGGGCAUUAGCUAGUUGGUGGGGUAAUGGCACACCAAGGCGACGAUGCAUAGCCGACCUGUGAGGGUGAUAGGCCACGCUGGGACAGAGACACGGCCCAGACUCCUACGAGAGGCAGCAGUAGGGAAUCUUCCACAAUGGACGAAAGUAUGAUGGAGCAACGCCGCGUGAACGAUGAAGGCCCUCGGGUCGUAAAGUUCUGGUGUAAGGGAAGAACAAGUGCCGCAGGCAAUGGCGGCACCUUGACGGUACCUUGCGAGAAAGCCACGGCUAACUACGUG
rnacentral:rRNA from 1 species